rnacentral:rRNA from 1 species
AUUGAACGCUGGCGGCAGGCCUAACACAUGCAAGUCGAGCGGCAGCGGGAAAGUAGCUUGCUACUUUUGCCGGCGAGCGGCGGACGGGUGAGUAAUGCCUGGGAAAUUGCCCAGUCGAGGGGGAUAACAGUUGGAAACGACUGCUAAUACCGCAUACGCCCUACGGGGGAAAGCAGGGGACCUUCGGGCCUUGCGCGAUGGGAAAUGCCAAGGUGGGAUUAGCUAGUUGGUGAGGUAAUGGCUCACCAAGGCGCCGAUCCCUAGCUGGUCUGAAAGGAUGAUCAGCCACACUGGAACUGAGACACGGUCCAGACUCCUACGGGAGGCAGCAGUGGGGAAUAUUGCACAAUGGGGGAAACCCUGAUGCAGCCAUGCCGCGUGUGUGAAGAAGGCCUUCGGGUUGUAAAGCACUUUCAGCGAGGAGGAAAGGUUGAUGCCUAAUACGUAUCAACUGUGACGUUACUCGCAGAAGAAGCACCGGCUAACUCCGUGCCAGCAGCCGCGGUAACAC